AGGGCGGCAGUCUGGUCGGCGGGAGCGUGCAGUUGUCCAGGUAAGGAUGUGUGUCUGUGUGGAUGUCUAUGCAUUUAUACAUACAGUAUGCUGGUGCUGUGCAUCUGUGCUUGUGUUUGCCGGUGUGUUUGUGUGUGUGUUUGUGUCUGUGUGUUUGUAUGUGCCUGUCUCUGUGUUUUGCGUUUGAUUGCACAGCUCCAGUGGUGAGGUCCCUAGCUCUCUCCCUUCCCUGUCUGUCUGUCACUGAGAGGAUCACAGCUCCA
ensembl:lncRNA